rnacentral:rRNA from 1 species
UACGUAGGGGGGCAAGCGUUGUCCGGAUUUAUUGGGCGUAAAGAGCGUGUAGGCGGCCGGAUAGGUCCGUUGUGAAAACUCGAGGCUCAACCUCGAGACGCCGAUGGAAACCAUCUGGCUAGAGUCCGGAAGAGGAGAGUGGAAUUCCCGGUGUAGCGGUGAAAUGCGCAGAUAUCGGGAGGAACACCAGUGGCGAAGGCGACUACCUGGCCCAUUCUUGACGCUGAGGCGCGAAAGCUAGGGGAGCGAACGGGG